AACCUCGAGGCAAGGACCUUGGCGUGUUGCGGUCGGUCGCUAAAAUGAAAUGUCGUAACGACUCUCGGCAACGGAUAUCUCGGCUCUCGCAUCGAUGAAGAACGUAGCGAAAUGCGAUACUUGGUGUGAAUUGCAGAAUCCCGUGAACCAUCGGUUUUUGAACGCAAGUUGCGCCCGAAGCCGUUAGGCCGAGGGCACGUCUGCCUGGGCGU
rnacentral:rRNA from 1 species